ensembl:ncRNA B0350.78 ncRNA
AUAGAAAUUUUACUAUUCACACCAGCUUGAUAAAACAGUUAAAAUUUUAUCAAAACUAAAAAAAAUUAAAAUUAUUAAAGAUAUUACUGUUUCAUAACGUAUGCUUUACAAACUUCUGAAAUGUAUCUUCUGAUAUUGUGCCUAGUUUGUCGUAAUGGAUUAUUAUACUUGACAAAAACCGAAAGUAAAACCAAUUUGGAGCUUAUUGUUAAUUUACUUUAACAUGCAACAUUUUACAAUAAAUAUCAGCUUGGAACUGUAAGAAUUUAGGUUGAAGUGAACAUUUUUCAAUAAGUCAAU